GGUAGAAUGUUGAAGUUGGGAUAGUAGUAAGGAUCCUACCAGGGGUUAUUCAUGUAUGAUGUUGGUAGAAUGUUGUAGAUACAGAGCCACUUGUCAUCAGGAAGGUGCUCUCUCAGCAGAACAGAAAAUAUUUCAAUUCCUUGACAUGUUCUGGUUGUGAAUUCAGGCUACAAGGGGUCAGUGCUCGAAAAUGAGCCUCUCUGGGGAGAGAGAGGGACCUGCCUCUAAAAGGUGUCUCUCUGGGGGACAUGACACCAAAGCUAAGAGACCAAUCAAGCAGGAGAGACCAGCCUCCCCUGUACCCAGCUGUGUGUCCAUGAAGAGUGACWRGUCUAUGAKUCWACCU